rnacentral:rRNA from 1 species
CCCUUGCAAAGCUAUGGAGGACAUAGUGGAGGUUAUCAAGGAGGACAGGUGGUGGCAUGGUUGUCGUCAGCUCGUGUCGUGAGAUGUUGGUUAAGUCCCGCAACGAGCGCAACCCUUAUUGCUAGUUACCAUCAUUCAGUUGGGGGACUCUAGCGAGACUGCCAGUGAUAAACUGGAGGAAGGUGGGGGAUGACGUCAAAUCAUCAUGCCCCUUAUGACCUGGGCUACAAACGUGAUACAAUGGCUGAAACAAAGGGCAGCGAAGCAGUGAUGUGGAGCGAAACCCAAAAAAGCAGUCUCAGUUCGGGUUGAAGUCUGCAACUCGACUUCAUGAAGUCGGAAUCGCUAGUAAUCGCGGAUCAGAACGCCGCGGUGAAUACGUUCUCGGGGUUU